UCUAAAAUGGCAGAGUAUGUAUAGGAUUUAGGUUCCUCCCACGAAGUUUUUCUUCUUUUAGAA
rnacentral:tRNA from 3 species